CGGGGCAACCCUAGUAAAGUGGCGUACGGGUGAGUAACACGUAGGUAAUCUACCUUACAGUUCGGAAUAACCUGACGAAAGUCGGGCUAAUACUGGAUAGAGCGACGGAAGCCGUAACGGUUUUUUCGGGAAAGGGAGCUCGAUAAGAGCCUUCGCUGUAAGAUGAGCCUGCGUCUGAUUAGUUAGUUGGUGGGGUAAUGGCCUACCAAGACGAUGAUCAGUAGCUGGUCUGAGAGGAUGAUCAGCCACACUGGAACUGAAACACGGUCCAGACUCCUACGGGAGGCAGCAGUGGGGAAUCUUGCGCAAUGGACGAAAGUCUGACGCAGCCACGCCGCGUGAGUGAAGAAGGCCUUCGGGUUGUAAAGCUCUGUCACCUGGGACGAAAACACUUGAGGUUAACAGCCUCAGGAAUUGACGGUACCAGGGGAGGAAGCACCGGCUAACUUCGUGCCAGCAGCCGCGGUAAUACGAAGGGUGCAAGCGUUGCUCGGAAUUAUUGGGCGUAAAGGGUUGGUAGGUGGUCUUGUUUGUCUAAGGUGAAAUCCCAGGGCUUAACCCUGGAAGUGCCUUAGAAACGGCAAGACUAGAGUCCUAGAGGGGUUUGUGGAAUUCCCGGUGUAGCGGUGAAAUGCGUAGAGAUCGGGAGGAACACCAGCGGCGAAGGCGGCAAACUGGAUAGGCACUGACACUCAACAACGAAAGCGUGGGGAGCAAACAGGAUUAGAUACCCUGGUAGUCCACGCUGUAAACGAUGGGUACUAGGCUUUGUGGGAAUAGACCCCUGCAGAGCCGGAGCUAACGCAAUAAGUACCCCGCCUGGGAAGUACGGUCGCAAGACU
rnacentral:rRNA from 1 species